GAUCAUGGCUCAGGAUGAACGCUAGCUACAGGCUUAACACAUGCAAGUCGAGGGGCAGCAUGGUCUUAGCUUGCUAAGACCGAUGGCGACCGGCGCACGGGUGAGUAACGCGUAUCCAACCUGCCUUACACUCUUGGACAGCCUUCUGAAAGGGAGAUUAAUACAAGAUGUUAUCAUGAGUAAGCAUUUUCGCAUGAUUAAAGUACGUU
rnacentral:rRNA from 1 species